UCGGGAAUUUUGGGCAAUGGGCGAAAGCCUGACCCAGCAACGCCGCGUGAGGGAUGAAGUAUUUCGGUAUGUAAACCUCGAAAGAAUGGGAAGAAUAAAUGACGGUACCAUUUAUAAGCUCCGGCUAACUACGUGCCAGCAGCCGCGGUAAUACGUAGGGAGCAAGCGUUGUUCGGAUUUACUGGGCGUAAAGGGCGCGUAGGCGGCGCGGUAAGUCACUUGUGAAAUCUCUGAGCUUAACUCAGAACGGCCAAGUGAUACUGCUGCGCUAGAGUGCGGAAGAGGCAACCGGAAUUCUUGGUGUAGCGGUGAAAUGCGUAGAUAUCAAGAGGAACACCUGAGGCGAAGGCGGGUUGCUGGGCCGACACUGACGCUGAUGCGCGAAAGCCAGGGGAGCAAACG
rnacentral:rRNA from 1 species